UCCACUGCCGCCAGGCUAGUGUAUCAGUGCUACUGCUUCUGUUGAGGAAAUGUCCCCAAGACUCAGAAACCUACAAGAUCUAAAUAGUAGCCUACUGAGGAAUACUGAGUAUGAGCACUAAGGAGGUCAUAUGAUACUUAGAGUCGGAUGGUUUAAUGCAAAAUGCUACAAACUGGUACCUUAUUCAUUUACAACAAAGUGGUACCUGAUACAUCUACAGGGGACAAAUGUCAAGCCCAAGGAAUAAAUAUUCCUGACAUAAGCCAGGCAACAAUGCUUCCGUGGCUGAACUACAAGAGACACCAAUUAGCAAGCACAUAGUCAACUUGUUAUCUAGCUGAAUAGUAUUCUAUGCCAUCAAUGCCAGUCUGAUUAAUGAUGCUGACGUUAAUAGAGGACUUGUAACAGCAUAAUGCUUUAUGAUGCAUCUAUUGUCUUUAAAAGCAAGAUGAUAGUAAUGAUAAAAAACAAGCCCACUGGAUACGUAUCAAAAAAGCAACACGUAUGAUCUACUGUUAAAAAUCAAAGUGGAAGAAGACACAUGGAAUCCAGAAAACGUGCAUUUAGUUAGAAGAUGCUGCAGGGUAGUUUACUGAAAAGAAAAUUAUAUGAAGGGUGAAGGAGAGAGCACAAAAGAGGAAACACUCUUUCUCUUAUUUUUUGCUAAGUCCUGUAUUAACACACACACACAAGUGGUACAAACCGGUUUGCAUUUGGCAGGUUUCCUGGCCCAUUAGCAAAUAGUCUGCCAUAAUAAAGAGACGUUCUUCUGGGGACUCUGGUAGGAUUAUGAGUCCAUUAUCAGACAGAAGAGGCUACAAAUGGACCCUGCUUUUCAACUAGAUUAUAAUGCAAAGAAUAAAAUAACCUUGACCCAAAAUGGAGAGCCAUGCAGGAACCUGGGAUACAGGUGAGGUUUCUCAGGUCCAGGAAGUAAAUCUCAGCUGGUCAUAGCCUAAGGAAACAAUUGCUAUUUUCUGCCCACACAGAACAUUAUUAAUCAGGGGCUCUGGGGCACAAGACCAUUAAUUUCUGUCCUAGGAAGCCAUGUUGGAUUAUAUAAAGCACAGACACAUUGAUUUUUGACUACUGGUGACUAUAGUCAACAGCUUUAGGUCACAUGGUUUUGAAUAAUAUGAUUAAGAAUGACCUCAUAUUCACAGUGACUGUUUCACUCACCCUGUAUUUAGAUCUAUCCUCCCCUCGUCAUUGGCAUCAUAAUAGGUUUAAACAAAAUGGCUAUCAGGCUCUGACUUGAGAGGUUUCUGACAUCAACUAUCCAGCCCUUUUCUCAUCUCUCACCAUCACUGUGAUCUAUCAAGCUUGUACAGCUCUUGGCCAAUGGCCAUAUUAAUUUUCUACUUGAAAGAACACAAAUAGAAUACUGCUUAUGACGAAGGUAGUCAGGGAGCUUGGGGAAUAGCUGUCCAUCUUACCGCAUAGUAAUUAGCUUGGCAAACUGAAACAGUAACAUGAUUAAAUCUGAUACCUAGCCAAAAUUACCAAAAGAAAAAAAAAAGAAUCCCUUAUUCUGUUGAAGGUGCUAAAUGGUGUUUUAAACAGUGGCUAUUGAUGGUUAUAUUUGCCCCUGUAGAAAUGAUAUGGACAUUGUGACAUCAGAAUUCUGGUUUCCAUGGUGAUUUUAGUGAUGGCAUUUGAAAGAUUGUAGUUAGCUUUCUCAGUAGAGGUCCUUGCUCUUACUCCAUAAAUGAAGGAUGAGAUAAACUGCUUCUUGAUGUUAGAAGGACAGGCUGCUGAUCAUCAGAUAGACAAACUCCAUGGAUUUUAAGUAAACAGGCACCCGCAGAAGCCGCUCAGACAAUUUCUUAACUAGAGACCAAGGAGAAGCAGGACGCAGAUUACCUGAUGCUGAAAUUUAGAGGGAUCCCGGCUGCUCACAGGAACUACACUCCCAUACACGUGUAGCUCUCGGACUAUGGAGACACCUCCGCCCAACUCGAAUCGGAAAGUUUCCUCAGAGCACUUCCGCAGCCUGAGGAGGCCAAUCAGAAUGUCCUGUUCAGGAUCUUCGUAGGACAGGAAGGUUUCCCAGCCACCAUUGGCAACAUAAUCUCUCCGCACCAACUCAAUCUGUUGGAUAAAAAGCCAUGAAAAAAACCUCAUUCAGAAUUAGAGAACCAAGCUCAUUUUUAUAAUUGUAUGGAUGUGUUUAGGCUAAUGUUCAGCUAGGAACAAAGAAUGAAUCAUCACUAAUUACGGCUUUUAUUUGCCUUUUCUCAAGCACAGGAUUAAAUAAGAGCUCAUGCCUUGUUCGUGGACUACUA